rnacentral:tRNA from 1 species
GGUUCCAUGGUGUAGCAGUCAGCACGUCUGCUUUACACACAGAAGGUUCUAGGUUCACGCCCCAGUGGAGCCA